UGUCCUCUAAAUAAGGACCAGCAUGAACGGCAACAUGAGAAAGAACCUGUCUCUUUUGGCUAGUCAGUGAAACUGAUCUGCCUGUACAAAAGCAAGCAUGAAAAAACAAGACAAAAAGACCCUGUGAAACUUUAAAUAUCCUUCAACCCAAUGACAGGGCAUUUUUCGGUUGGGGCAACCAAUGAGAAACAAACCUCAUAAAAUCACAAGACACACAAGCCAAGUGAACUAAAAAGAUCCAGUACUACUGAUCAAAGGACAAAGCUACUCCAGGGAUAACAGCGCUACAUUCUUAAAGAGUCCAUAUCAACAAGAAUACCUACGACCUCGAUGUUGGAUCAGGGCACCCCAAUGGCGCAAAAGCUAUUAAAGGUUCGUUUGUUCAACGAUUAAAGC
rnacentral:rRNA from 1 species